UUAAAGUAAGAAAGCAUUGUUAAAGGAAACAAAUCUAGAAGGAAAAUAACUUCCAACUUUUCUAUGGCAAGGAUAUGCCAGGUAACAUACAAUAGAAUUGUCAUACACUGAGAAAGGCUUUGUAUUUUUUGAAUGACAAAGCUUUUAGAAAUUAUAAGCUGUUGGGACCCGAAACGUGGUCAAAAAGUGGAUAAGUCAUGCAAUGAACUGUGUGGUUAAAAAUGAAGUUUGGCAUCUUUUAAUCUACAAAAAGCUUUGUCAAAAAGGGACUAAACAUGUAGAGUCAGCCACAUGAAUCCUUUUUGGCUACUCCAUUCGCUUCAGAAUUUGGAAGAAAUUAUGGUGUGCAAUUCUUUUUUCAGUGAAGAUCCUCCUUCCCUUAUCUUUAUAGUUCUCUAGUUAAACAUAACAAAUUUAUAGGGUAGAAGAUACUUUGGGCUCAGGGAGUUUCUUCUUAUAUUUCUUUUCUUUCUGCUUAAACAACCAAUCCUCUGUUUUGGUUUCAUUGAAUCUUUUUUAUCAACUUCGAAAACAAACCGGAAUUCCAUCUUGACAUGACAAUCAGUUGCAACUCUUUUGCUGAUUCAUUAAUGACAUGUAGUUGUUGAACAUCUAGCCUGCACCUAGUGCAAACCUUUUGAAAGAAAAACAAGUGCAUUGUGCAUAAAUUUGCACCCAAGUAGAAGGGUUGAUUUUCUGAGGCAGCAGGACAUGAAACAGGACUAUGAUCAAGGGAGUCGUACAGGAGGGUCAUUUAACCCUUAGACUAAAACAAUAAAUUGCUUGUAGACAGCAUAGCUAUGAGAGCUCUACUAUUUGUGUUUUCCUUGGCACUGUAACUGAAUCUCACUAUCAAGUAUCAAUCAAAGUAUUAAAAAAAUAAUAAUAAUCUAACUAAAAGUAAAAGAGGCAAUUGUGAAUUACUGUUCACAAGCCAAAUUUGUGGUCUAAGCCACUUUGAAUUGAGCCAGAUUAAUUGAGCUGCUUGGAAGUCAGUGGGUUUUCAUAUGGGAACUUUUCAUCUUCUAAAAAAGAUAAGCAUCCUUUUUCAUUUCUCUUUCUAAUAUUCACCAAAGGCUUCGCUUUUUCCUCUUUCUUUCUAGAUUUGAAAAUAGUUCUAAAAAUCUAUGAAGAAUUGAGCACAAAUUUUGGGAAUCUGUUUUCUUUUCUGGCUAAGCUUCAAAUUCAGUACAAUUUGUGGGAAUCUGUUCUCUUUUUUGGCUAAGCUUCAAAUUCCGAUCUAAUUCUGAGCACAAAUAGAGAGGAACCCAAAAAGGUAAAAUUAAGAAAAGAGGAGAAAAUUAUUUUUACAAAUUUAUAAGUUUUCAAAUGGAAUAAGGCAUGCUGAGUUUUAAUUGAGCACUUCAUUUGAAGUUUCACCCGUUAAUUUUCUGUCCUUUUUUUUUAUUGCAUGCAUUGGAAUUUUUCAGAGUAUUCUUUCUGGGUUUUGUUAAAGAUGAAGAUUCACAAUGACCUCGGUGUUUGCUUUCUCCUUUUAAACAUUUUAUGGGAAGUUUGUCAAUUUCACAUAAUUUCUUUUUACACUGCUUUUAUUGUUGAGCGUGUACAAAAGAAAAAUUAAUCCAUGAAUGCUAUUUAGAUCAUGGUACUAGCUCAAAGGAAUGGCUUGAAACAGAUAUAGUUUCUUGAAGUUUGGGUCCUAUAGAAUGGAAAUUCACUGGAUGUAAAAUUGGGUUUAAUUUAUCCACUUUCAAGCACCCCUAUAUUAUUGUGCAGAUGCAAUGAAUUUGGAAUAUUAUGUAUCGAGCAUAAUGAUAUUUCCUUUGAAUCUGUUAGGCGAGUUCACACUGUGUUUUUCUAAGUGGUGGUUUAGAUCUCUCCCAAGCUGAGAAUGUGGAGGAACUUAUAUCAGCUAAAUCAAUGGCUGCUGUAGAUACAACAUUGGCAGAACCAUUUCCAUCUGAUGCACAAUAACAUAAGAACAUGUUCUCUGAUUGGCUAAAGCACAGAGCUGAAGUCUACAAACUGAAAG